rfam:Ictidomys tridecemlineatus contig000660, whole genome shotgun sequence.
UGGGGUGUGGCUCAGUGGUGGAGUGCUUGCCUGGCAUGCAGGGGGCACUGGGCUUGAUCCUCAGCACCACAU